rnacentral:rRNA from 1 species
AAACGACAUCGAAAGCUUGCUUUUGAUGGGCGUCGACCGGCGCACGGGUGAGUAACGCGUAUCCAACCUGCCCACCACUUGGGGAUAACCUUGCGAAAGUAAGACUAAUACCCAAUGACGUCUCUAGAAGACAUCUGAAAGAGAUUAAAGAUUUAUCGGUGAUGGAUGGGGAUGCGUCUGAUUAGCUUGUUGGCGGGGUAACGGCCCACCAAGGCAACGAUCAGUAGGGGUUCUGAGAGGUUGAACGGCCACAUUGGGACUGAGACACGGCCCAGACUCC